AACGCACGCUGGCGGCAGGCUUAACACAUGCAAGUCGAACGCUCCGCAAGGAGAGUGGGAGACGGGUGAGUAACACGUGGGAACGUAUCCCUUACUACGGAAGAACUCCGGGAAACUGGAGCUAAUACCGUAUGUGCCCUUUGGGGGAAAGAGUUAUCGGUAAAGGAUCGGCCCGCGUGGGAUUAGCUAGUUGUUGGGGUAAAGGCCUACCAAGGCGACGAUCCAUAGCUGGUCUGAGAGGAUGAUCAGCUACAUUGGGACGGGGAAACGGCCCAAACUCCUACGGGAGGCAUCAGUGGGGAAUAUUGGACAAUGGGCGCAAGCCUGAUCCAGCCAUGCCGCGUGUGUGAUGAAGGCCUUAGGGUUAUAAAGCACCUUCACCGGAGAAGAUAAUGACGGUAUCCGGAGAAUAAGCCCCGGCUAACUUCGUGCCAGCAGCCGCAGUAAAAC
rnacentral:rRNA from 1 species